rnacentral:rRNA from 1 species
GCUAUACAUGCAAGUCGAGCGGACAGAAGGGAGCUUGCUCCCGGAUGUUAGCGGCGGACGGGUGAGUAACACGUGGGUAACCUGCCUGUAAGACUGGGAUAACUCCGGGAAACCGGAGCUAAUACCGGAUAGUUCCUUGAACCGCAUGGUUCAAGGAUGAAAGACGGUUUCGGCUGUCACUUACAGAUGGACCCGCGGCGCAUUAGCUAGUUGGUGAGGUAACGGCUCACCAAGGCGACGAUGCGUAGCCGACCUGAGAGGGUGAUCGGCCACACUGGGACUGAGACACGGCCCAGACUCCUACGGGAGGCAGCAGUAGGGAAUCUUCCGCAAUGGACGAAAGUCUGACGGAGCAACGCCGCGUGAGUGAUGAAGGUUUUCGGAUCGUAAAGCUCUGUUGUUAGGGAAGAACAAGUGCAAGAGUAACUGCUUGCACCUUGACGGUACCUAACCAGAAAGCCACGGCUAACUACGUGCCAGCAGCCGCGGUAAUACGUAGGUGGCAAGCGUUGUCCGGAAUUAUUGGGCGUAAAGGGCUCGCAGGCGGUUUCUUAAGUCUGAUGUGAAAGCCCCCGGCUCAACCGGGGAGGGUCAUUGGAAACUGGGAAACUUGAGUGCAGAAGAGGAGAGUGGAAUUCCACGUGUAGCGGUGAAAUGCGUAGAGAUGUGGAGGAACACCAGUGGCGAAGGCGACUCUCUGGUCUGUAACUGACGCUGAGGAGCGAAAGCGUGGGGAGCGAACAGGAUUAGAUACCCUGGUAGUCCACGCCGUAAACGAUGAGUGCUAAGUGUUAGGGGGUUUCCGCCCCUUAGUGCUGCAGCUAACGCAUUAAGCACUCCGCCUGGGGAGUACGGUCGCAAGACUGAAACUCAAAGGAAUUGACGGGGGCCCGCACAAGCNGUGGAGCAUGUGGUUUAAUUCGAAGCAACGCGAAGAACCUUACCAGGUCUUGACAUCCUCUGACAACCCUAGAGAUAGGGCUUUCCCUUCGGGGACAGAGUGACAGGUGGUGCAUGGUUGUCGUCAGCUCGUGUCGUGAGAUGUUGGGUUAAGUCCCGCAACGAGCGCAACCCUUGAUCUUAGUUGCCAGCAUUUAGUUGGGCACUCUAAGGUGACUGCCGGUGACAAACCGGAGGAAGGUGGGGAUGACGUCAAAUCAUCAUGCCCCUUAUGACCUGGGCUACACACGUGCUACAAUGGACAGAACAAAGGGCUGCGAGACCGCAAGGUUUAGCCAAUCCCACAAAUCUGUUCUCAGUUCGGAUCGCAGUCUGCAACUCGACUGCGUGAAGCUGGAAUCGCUAGUAAUCGCGGAUCAGCAUGCCGCGGUGAAUACGUUCCCGGGCCUUGUACACACCGCCCGUCACACCACGAGAGUUUGCAACACCCGAAGUCGGUGAGGUAACCUUUAUGGAGCCA